UCGGGGGAGGGUAUAAGGGAGCCCAGGGACACUGGGGCACCAGCUCGUUAACACGUGUGUAUGAAUGCCGGCUGUGCGCUUGGCAAAUCCUUAAUUACACAGGGAGAACUUCCUGAACCGGGAACUCAGUAUCGGUCCCUGAAAGGUUGGGUAAUGGCUUCUUCUUGCAUCUGGAAUCCAAGGGGACCAAUCUCUCUGGCUCCCCUGGGCUCUCAGAUUCUUCUAGAUGUCUUUGUCUUCUAAAAUUCUGGGAUCCCAAGGGAAGACACAUAGUUAAGGACACUCAGAAAUGCAUACCUUUCAACCCUACUAAUCAUCCUAAAACCUGUGCUUUCAACAUAUCACGUCCUUGAUCUGUAACCCUCAGGGGCACCCACGAUCUCCAAUGACUGGGAGUGAUGGCAUUUAAGUCUUUCCACCAUGCAGAAGUUUCUUCCCUCAUUCCCCAUGAAUUCUCUCCUGUAGCCAGCCUGGCCCCUCAUAACCCCUUGGAUAUACUGUAUCUUGAAUUCUCCAGCCUUUCUGCAGUUGCCUUCCUGGGACAUUCAUUCCCAUGUUCACAAUCUAGCCAAUUGUAUCCCUUCUCUAUUCAGUUCUAGCAUCAGUCAGUCAAUCAACAAGCAUUUAUUGAAAGUCCACUAUGUACAAGACAUGUUCUAGGCCCUGGUAAUACAUCAGAGACUGAGACAAAUACCUGUUCUUAAGGAUUUUAUAUUUUAAUGGGAGAAACAGAGUAGACUCAUGGCUCACGCCUAUAAUCCCAGGACUUUGGGAGGCCAAGGCAAGAGGAUCACUUGAGGCCAGGAGCUCAAAACCAGCCUGGGCAGCAAGUGUCUUCUUUUGCCUCUGCAAAAGAAAAUUAAAAAUAACAAAAAAAGGAAGCUAAACUAGAGUAUUGUGGUAGAGGGGUGUGUGUGUGUGCAUGUGGGUGCAUCCGUGUGUGUGGUAGGUUGAUGGGUGCUGUUUUAUUUAGCCAGGGAAGGUCUCUUUGAGGAGGUGGCAUUCGAGACCUUCUGGGUGGGAAGGAGGCAGCCAUGUGGUGAUCUGGGGAAGAGUGCUGCAAGCAGAAAGGCAAGUAAAAACAAAAGCCCUGAGGCAGAAAUGUGCUCCUUAUGCUUAAGAAACACCGUGAAGGCCAACGUGGUUGGAGCAAUGUGAGCAAGAAGAAUAGAGGGGCCUUGGGAACAUAGGUAGCUGAGUCCUCAUGGAUCAAGGCACCUUGACUUUAAGUGUCUGUUACACCAAAGGUUAUGGCAAACUGUGUCUGCAGCCCACAGUAAAAUCCAGUUUAAGGCUCUCCACACUGGAGUGCAGCUAUCCAGGUAGGUAGUGCCACCAGCCUAAGGUCACACCUUCUUCCUUGGCGUGAGGUUGCCCUACGUUGGCACUUAUCAUGGUCACUGCUUUGGUGACUGUCAUUCUGCCCAGGGCUUUAAGUGACCACCUUCCACAGACUCCCCCAUUUCAUACUACAGAGAAAGCAUCUUGUGUCUUACCUUCCCUCCCUUAGUGUGCUAGGACUGCCUGGUGAGUGGCACUAAAGGAUCAUCCCUUGGUUCCUGAUAUCUAGGAACCCACAUAUGCUUAAAAACAGCAAGAUAACUCCCCAGAUUGAAUCUCUGCAGGCUGAAAAGUUGGAUGGAUUCCAACUAGAGCACCAUUUCCCUAAUCCCACACACUUUUAAGGGACUAGAGACUGAGGAAUGUUCAGGGAUUAUCACAGAAUAUUCUGGUCCUUUUGUUGGAGCCUGAAAGCUCUUUAGAGCAAUUGAGUACACAGAAAUUCAGCCAGAAUGGGAGCACAAGCAGAAGCAGACCAAGCUAUUUCUCCCCUGAACACACACUCUGCACACUGACAGGUACAAAUAUAGCUAAAAGAAAUGACGAUUACAUAAGUUCCUAGCCAGUGUCCAGCACAUAGUAAGUCUAUCAGUUAGCUCUUCCUGUUUAACAAAUCUUCCCUAAACUUAGUGGCUCAAAACAACCACCCUUUAGCUUACGAUUCUGCAGUCUGGCAUAUUUCUGCCAGCUUGCCCAUGCUCAGAGGCCAGCUGCCUGGUGGGCUAGGGCCUGGCUGGACUAGGACAGCCUCAGCUGGGGCAGCUUCUCUGUGUUUCUCAUUCUCCAGCAGGCUAGCUUGGGCUUGUUCACACAAGUUUCCAGAGAGAGAAGUAGGCAAGAGCUUCAGAACCGUACAAACAAGGUCCGCUGCAUUCUACUGGCCACAGUGAGUCCCUAGGGCAGCCCCAGUCGAAGGAGCAGAGAGGUAGUCUGUUCCUCUUGAUGGAAGAGAGGCACAGAGUCAUUUAGCUUAGGGGUAAACAUAUAGACGCAGUGAAGGAUUGUGGCCACUUUUACAAUCUACCACUGUAGCUACCAAUAAGUUCUGUGUUUACAGUUUUUCAGCCAUUUCCAAAAGGAAUUAUAUUGAUGUGUUAGUUGACAAGCCUACAAUGAAAAGAUAGAUGGGAAAAGAAGACCAUCAGACAGGUGGCUGGAUAUGUGGAGACAAGCACGAAGAAGUCCAGGCUCUGUCACGACGUUGCUGACUGGCUUCUGUCACAUUUUCAGCAGAGCAGACGCUGUUGGCUUCUCAUCUUCACUCACACAACCCUCUUUUCCACAGGCAUCUUUUAGCUAGAGGUGCGCGUGUGACACCACAUGGACUGUGAGAAAUAGUCAAGUUCAGCCUAGUGACGCUUCUGGCAAAGCUUGUUUUCCUGAUUUUUAAAAAAGGAGUUGGGGGAGUGCCAUGCCUUUUGUCCUUCCUCCCUCCUCCUGCCUGGAACAUGGAUGUGAGACCAGGAAGUACAGCAGCCAUCUUGUGACCAUGAGGACUAAAGGCCUGCGCUGAGGAUGCCAGCAGGUUCUCUUCAACACCCCAGCCCUGGAGAGCCGCAGAUUGGACAACGGGCAGACUUUGUUGAACAGAUGAACAACUGUGGCUAAAUCUGUUUUGGAAAAAAAAAAAAAAAAGACCUGAAGCAAUUGAUAAACAAGAGGCUGAGGUCAGUGUGAAGGAAGAAUAAAUGAGGCCAGAUUGGAGAACGUUGAAAAGUGAUGUCUGCUGGGACAAUGGCGCACAAGCAGAGGAGAUAUUCAUCAGCUGUACAUCUGCUGUUCCUUGCUGCCCCACAAGCCCAGAAUUCUGGUUGUCUUACAAUGUUCGGAGGUUCAGUGACAUGUGUGUUUCAUCUUUGAUUGGUAAGUGGGGGUGCUGACAGCCCUGAGAGGUCACAUUUUCCAUUCAAACCAGAACUUGUUUUGAAUGCAGAAAAAAAGGCAAUGGCAUUCUAAAAAAUGUGAAUGACCAGGGAAAUGGAUCAUAUAUCUUUUCUUACUUGUUAUAUUUCCCUGUAUUAGCUAAUCACAUAUGCUGAACAUGAAGACGUAGAAGAAAUGGGAAAUAUUGGGCAAUGUAUAGUUCUUUUUCCUUUCAGCCAUUCCUUGCUCAUCACUAAGCUGAAGAUAGAGUGUUGGUAGAAUGCUUACAUAUCAAGGAAUAAAAGCAAUUGAGCUGGUUGUGCAGUGUUUCCAAUAUUCUGUGAAUCAAUUUCCCCAACAUUAUCUAUGAAACCAAAUCUCUGUGUUAGAUUGGAUUAUUGUUCCCAAUCCUUCUUGUUCUCCUGGCUCUACAAUUAUACACCUGUGCCUUUUGGCAUGAAGUUUUGCAUUACCUUCCACUAUUGAUGUUCAACUUGGCCAUAUGACUUGUUUGGCCAAUGGAAUGUUGGUGAAUAUGAUGAGAGGAGAGGUGUUAAAUGUAUUUGAAUGAUUUGGCUUGACCUCUUGCCAGAAGGAGACAUGUGGUGAAGACUUGAAUCUGACCUGCAUCCUGGAGCCAAGUCCAGCUGAAUUCAGCUGAACCCAACCAAGUCUUAAGGAGCCCAGAUGAGAUGAGCUGAAUCUCAGUUCAUAUACAGACCCAUAAGGGAGAAAAAUAAAUGACUACCAUAAGCCACUGAUAAGUUGGGAUUAUCUGUUACAUAAUAUUAUUAUUGCAGCAAGCAAUAGCUGACUAACUCAACAUGAUUUCCUCAUGGAUUUGUGGUGUUACCAUGAUCACAUAUCAGAUUCUCUUAUGUAAAUGGGUUGUUUCUGAGUUCUCUAUUCUGUUUCAUGGUUCUGUAUGUCUGCUACUAUAAAAAAUGACCGACUUAUAAAGAAAUUUAGUCUUCCAUGUGCAUUUUAGAAUACGUUUAAAUUCCCCAAAUCUUGCUACAAGUUUGGUUUGCAUUGAAUUUAUAAACACAUUUAGAGAUAAUUGAGAUCUUAAUAACGUUACAUCAUCUUAUCCAUAAACAUUAUAUAUACCUCUAUUUGGGUUUCCUUUGAAUUCCUUCAAUAAAUUCAAAUAUGUUAAUUCCUGGAUACUUUAUAGUUUUGUUGCUUUUAUAAAUAGUAUCUUAUUUUCUAGUUUGUUAGUGUAAGUGUGAAUGAAUACUUUCAG
rnacentral:lncRNA from 1 species